UACGGAGGGAGCUAGCGUUGUUCGGAAUUACUGGGCGUAAAGCGCACGUAGGCGGCUUUUUAAGUCAGGGGUGAAAUCCCGGGGCUCAACCCCCGGAACUGCCCUUGAAACUGGAGAGCUAGAAUCUUGGAGAGGCGGGUGGAAUUCCGGGUGUAGCGGUGGAAUGCGUAGAGAUCCGGAAGAACACCAGUGGCGAAGGCGGCCCGCUGGGCAGUGGCUGACGCUGAGGCGCGACAGCGUGGGGAGCAAACAGG
rnacentral:rRNA from 1 species